rnacentral:rRNA from 1 species
AUUGAACGCUAGCGGCAGGCCUAACACAUGCAAGUCGAACGGUAGCACAGAGAGCUUGCUCUCGGGUGACGAGUGGCGGACGGGUGAGUAACGUCUGGGAAACUGCCCGAUGGAGGGGGAUAACUACUGGAAACGGUAGCUAAUACCGCAUAACGUCGCAAGACCAAAGUGGGGGACCUUCGGGCCUCACACCAUCGGAUGUGCCCAGAUGGGAUUAGCUAGGAGGUGGGGUAAUGGCUCACCUAGGCGACGAUCCCUAGCUGGUCUGAGAGGAUGACCAGCCACACUGGAACUGAGACACGGUCCAGACUCCUACGGGAGGCAGCGGUGGGGAAUAUUGCACAAUGGGCGCAAGCCUGAUGCAGCCAUGCCGCGUGUAUGAAGAAGGCCUUCGGGUUGUAAAGUACUUUCAGCGGGGAGGAAGGCGGUGAAGUUAAUAACUUCACCGAUUGACGUUACCCGCAGAAGAAGCACCGGCUAACUCCGUGCCAGCAGCCGCAGUAA